rnacentral:rRNA from 1 species
ACUUUACAAAAUUAAGUUAAGCUUUUAGUAUAAAAUUAAGCUUUUACCUAAACUUUGUUACGUUGGGGUGAUGGGGUAAUAAAUUAACUUAUCUUGAAUUUAACAUUAUAAAUGAUUUAAGGAUCCACUAAUAGUGAUUAUAAAAUUAAGU